AGUCCAAAAGACAUUGUGGACCUGGCCAAAGUCAACACUUUUGAAUUGAGCCAAAUACGCGUUCUCCAAGCUUGGUCGUCCCAACUCAUCUGAAACGGAAUCCACUGUGGGCCACCGUGCCAGUCGUUGCUCCCGGCGGCGGUGGCCAUCAAAAUCAAUAUCGGAGCUAUCAAAGUACUCCCCCACUCAUGCUCUAUCAUAAUCCGUGGUCAAUUUCAAGCAAUUGUUCCUCUAAAACUCUAAUUGAAUCCCUACAAUCCAAGAACCCUAACACAAAUAACUCCAAUUAAACCCUAUAUGUACCUGUUCAAAGCCCCAUGGAUGAGGGCUUUGAAUCCUCUCAACCUCCUCUACAUACCGACAACUGGAAUUGAAGGAAUGAAGUAUGAUUGAGACUUACCGUGGCCGGAGAAAGAUGAAGGUGAUGAAAAAUUGUGAACUCCUAUUUCCAGUAUUCAUUUGUGUGGCUUGGCUUGAUGGUUGGAUACAAGGUCUGCACAAGGCUCAAUGCAAGUUAAUCUUGCUGCAGGGUUCAUAUGGUUGGUUGCUACCUUCAUCUGGUUUGUAUAUUGGUGUUGUUUUAUUCAGUCAGUUAGAUCAAAUACAAGAUGACAAGUGGACAAUCUAUCUAACUCCAAGUCUACUGAACUUCAUUCAUGCAUUGCUUAUGUCCCAUGCUGUUAGCACUGGUAUGGAUUGAGUGAAGAGAUUAACUUGUCAAUCUUUGUGUCAGGAUUGACUAAAACAUGACCUGUGAUGUACUUCAACUAAUUCAAUAAGGGCAUUGCAAUUUGAUCCAAGAAGGGCAUUACAAUUUGGAUCCUAGCCAAUUGAUGUGGUUUUGUUUGGUCUUGCUGCAAGUCCGUUGUAGGAUUUGGUACAGGCUAGGUAUGUUGGUAUAUUUAAAGGAUUUGGUUGGAGGUGAGCUUCUGGCCAACUGCAAGUUAUGGCUUUUGUAUUGCAGGAUGCUGGCAGGAUGCAUUUGGACUGCACCAUUCUGGCCUGGCCCAUGUCUCAGUUCAUGUUACCACUCAUGUCCUUGCCUUUGAUCUAUUAUUACCCUCUUGCAACCAAUGAUGUACCAUAACUUCUCAUGAUGUAUUGCAAUACUAUUGGAAUUUUCCUUGGCAGGUUCAUGUAUUGCUUCUGUUUGAGAAUGUGUCAGUUAGUUUUUUGUAGAAUACUACAGGAUGAUGACAGGAUGCAAGUGUGAGGCUUGUCAUGGACCAUGUUUAGCAAGGUAAAAAUUGGUUGACAAGGCAAUGAGGACCAAGUCAUGGUAUGGUGCACAUGAGUUUAAAAAUGGGCCAAGUUACUUGGAAAUGAAAAAAUAAGGCAAAACACAUCAAACACGACUCUUGGAUGAUGAAUCAAGGAAAAGUGAACUAGAUUAGGUCUUAGGUGGUCAAAAAUGGACGAGUUGACCUUGGUCAAAGUUGACCAAAAAGUCAAUUGUUGACCAAAGUCAACACUUGGUCAAAGUUGUUAAAAUGUGUAUUUUUUUCAUGUAAUGGUUAAUGUAAUGGAUUGUGAUGGUUUAAAAUGGAUUGAGAUUGAUUUGAAAUUGGAUUGAAAAUGGUUUUCUCUU